rnacentral:rRNA from 1 species
GGAAUAUUGCGCAAUGGGGGCAACCCUGACGCAGCGACGCCGCGUGGGUGAGGAAGGCUUUCGGGUCGUAAAACCCUGUCAGAUGGGAAGAAAUGCUUAUAGGUUAAUAUCCUGUAAGUUUGACGGUACCAUCAAAGGAAGCACCGGCUAACUCCGUGCCAGCAGCCGCGGUAAUACGGAGGGUGCAAGCGUUGUUCGGAAUCACUGGGCGUAAAGGGCGCGUAGGCGGCUUGGCAAGUCAGAUGUGAAAGCCCACGGCUUAACCGUGGAAGUGCAUUUGAAACUGCUUGGCUUGAGUAUCAGAGGGGAAAGUGGAAUUCCCGGUGUAGAGGUGAAAUUCGUAGAUAUCGGGAGGAAUACCGGUGGCGAAGGCGACUUUCUGGCUGAAUACUGACGCUGAGGCGCGAAAGCGUGGGGAGCAAACAGGAUUA